rnacentral:rRNA from 1 species
UACGAAGGGUGCAAACGUUGCUCGGAAUUAUUGGGCGUAAAGCGCACGUAGGCGGCUUGGCAAGUCGGAUGUGAAAUCCCUCGGCUCAACCAAGGAAGUGCAUCCGAAACUGCUGAGCUUGAGUACUUAAGAGGAUCGCGGAAUUCCGGUGUAGAGGUGAAAUUCGUAGAUAUCGGAGGAACACCAGUGGCGAAGGCGGCGAUCUGGGAAGAUACUGACGCUGAGGUGCGAAAAGC